rnacentral:lncRNA from 1 species
UCUAAUGGGAUAAAGUUAUCAUUUUUUGGCCUAAAAAACAAUUUUCCCUUGAUUAUUUUAUCAUGUUUGCAAUGUGUUUGUCUAUAUAUUGCGUAUAUAUCUUUUAUUUUUAUCUAAUAUUUUCCUGUUAUUUAUAAAAAAGAAAAGUUACAAUAAUCAUAAUCUCUAGAAAAUGUUUUUUUACAUCACUUGGGCCAUGUAAUGCUUAUUUUUAGGGGCUUUAUGCUAUAAUUUUCAGUUUAAAAGGUAAGAGCAAUUUUAUUGGUAAGGUUUUCAAAUGGAAAAAUUU